rnacentral:lncRNA from 1 species
AUGAGUAAAGAUUUCACACUUUAAUAAAAGAUAUAAUCAAAUAUAAAAAAAUUGUAUGCGUUAGAUUUAAUCAAAUCAUAAAAACCAAAAUUCAGUUCAAUCAAAAUUAAGAAUAAGAACAAACUCAUCGGCUUUGAGUGAAAGGGGAUAAACGAAAGGACUGAUAUUGAUAGACCAAUCCCAAUUGCAAGUGAGAAACAGUCAAUUAUCUUAAUCUUUACAAAUCGAGCUAUUAGAGAUAGAGAUGCUAGCUAGCUACAAAAACACUCAACACAAAAAUGACAAAAGGGGUUCAUGACUGAAAUUUCAUCUACUAUUUCGAUACCUGAUUUGGGGCUUUUGAUUUCCUUCAAAAUUGCCUAUAUACCUUAUUUGGGGAUUCCAAUUUCCUUCAAACUUACUUCGCGUAAGGGAGAGAGUCGGAGUCCGGUCUCGAGGACGAGAGCAAGAGAUUUGGGAGAAAAAGAUAAAAGCCACAGGUUUUGGGUUUUGUUGGAUGAGCUUAACGGCAGUAGCUGACGGAGAGAAAAUUUUUUGUUUAGCAUUUGAUAGAAUUUUCACCACACGGUAAAAUUAUCUUGACUUGAGUAAGUUAAAAAAAGCCACGUGUCGGUUUUGUAUUAGCAAGGAGGACCAAGUGUCAUGGUGAGGUGGUCCUCCUGGAGGACAGAAAAAUUUCUCGUAACCCAUAAUAAGUGAUCAAGGAAAAGAAACACCAUGUGAUGUGUUGAUGUUUCGAGUCAAAGUGGCUAGUUUGGUAUUGAGUUUUAGAGAUUAAAAUCAUUUAUAAUCAUCAUUUUAUAUAUAUUUUUUGUUUGGUAAAAUCUUAAAACUGUUCUAGGAUAUUCUCUAUGUGUGCUUUGGCCUUAUGCCAAUAGGAUAUGUAGUUAGACUAGAUCUAUGUAUUCAUAUCCUUACCAUAUUGGUAUUGUGUAAUUCCCUAUAUAAAGGGCUCCUAUCAAUGAAUAAGAUGACUCUCUUGCUAUCUCUUUGU